GCUGCGUGGAGCGGAACUGUGACAGAGACCCUGCGAUUCCUGGGAGCUGGCUGAUGACAUCAGUGUCUAACCUCCAUGGCGCGGCGACGGGGUACUAGCGGCCGCCGACGGCGAGCAUCAAAUGAAACCAAGAAAGUUAACAAUGGCAACUCAACAACAGAAGACUCUCCUCUUGUCAAGAAAGCUCGAACAUGUGAGAGAAAAGGAGUGAAAAAGGAUCAUGCAGCUGGAGAAGAAGCUAAGAACAGGACAGAAGACAGGCAAGAAACCGUGAAAGCCUUGUUGUUAAAGGGGAAAGCCCCUGUGGACCCAGAGUGUACAGCCAAGGUGGGAAAGGCUCAUGUGUAUUGUGAAGGAAAUGAUGUCUAUGAUGUCAUGCUAAAUCAAACCAAUCUUCAGUUCAACAACAACAAGUACUAUCUUAUUCAGUUGUUAGAAGAUGAUGCCCAGAGAAACUUCAGUGUUUGGAUGAGAUGGGGCCGAGUUGGGAAAACUGGGCAGCACAGUUUGGUGGCUUGUUCAAGCAACCUCCAUAAGGCCAAGGAAAUCUUUCAGAAAAAAUUCCUUGACAAAACCAAAAAUAAUUGGGAGGAUCGUGAGAAGUUUGAGAAGGUGCCUGGAAAAUAUGAUAUGCUACAGAUGGACUAUUCCACCAGUACUCAGGAUGAAGAUGAAACAAAACAAGAGGAAUCUAUUAAAGCCCCCUUGAAGCCAAAGUCACAGCUAGAUCUUCGUGUACAGGAGCUGGUAAAGUUGAUCUGUAAUGUCCAGACCAUGGAAGAGAUGAUGAUUGAAAUGAAGUAUGAUACAAAGAAAGCCCCGCUUGGGAAGCUGACAGUAGCACAAAUCAAGGCAGGUUACCAGUCUCUCAAAAAGAUUGAGGAUUGUAUUCGGUCCGGCCGGUGUGGACGAGCUCUCCUGGAAGCAUGCAAUGAAUUCUAUACCAGGAUCCCACAUGACUUUGGACUCCGCACUCCUCCAUUAAUCCAGACAGAGAAGGAACUGUCAGACAAAAUACAGCUGCUAGAGGCUUUGAGAGACAUUGAAAUUGCCAUUAAACUGGUGAAGACAGAACUGCAAAGCCCAGAACACCCAUUGGACCAACACUACAGAAACCUGCACUGUGCCUUGCACCCUCUAGACCAUGAAAGUUAUGAGUUCAAAGUGAUUUCCCAAUACCUACAGUCUACCCAUGCUCCCACACACAAUGACUAUACCAUGACCUUGCUGGAUGUUUUUGAAGUAGAGAAGGAAGGUGAAAGAGAAGCCUUCAGAGAGGACCUUCAUAACAGGAUGCUGCUAUGGCAUGGUUCCAGGCUAAGUAACUGGGUAGGAAUUCUGAGCCAUGGGCUUCGAAUUGCCCCACCUGAGGCUCCCAUCACAGGUUACAUGUUUGGAAAAGGAAUCUACUUUGCUGACAUGUCUUCCAAGAGUGCCAAUUACUGCUUUGCCUCUCGCCUAAAGAACACAGGACUGCUACUUUUAUCAGAGGUAGCUCUAGGUCAGUGUAAUGAGCUACUAGAAGCCAAUCCUGAGGCAGAGGGAUUACUUCAGGACAAACACAGCACAAAAGGGCUGGGCAAGAUGGCUCCCAGUCCUGCCCACUUUGUCACCCUGAAUGGGAGUACAGUGCCCUUAGGACCACCAAGCGAUACAGGAAUUGUGAAUCCAGAGGGUUAUACCCUCAAUUACAAUGAGUUUAUUGUCUAUAACCCCAACCAGUGCUGGGGAUUAAACCCAUGGCCUUAGACAAAUGAGCUUAACAUCUCUAUCCUUUGAAGCUGUCACCAGCAACUCAGGCAGCACAUGGAGGGCUGUGACAGAGCCUGAGUGAAUCUGAAAGGAAUGGGACAGUGGCAAGGGAACUCACCAAGAGAGGAUGCCACAAACGUGUGGCCCCAUCCAGUCCAACAGUCACCACUAGAAGCUCUGAUCCAGG